rnacentral:rRNA from 1 species
AGUGAACGCUGGCGGUAGGCCUAACACAUGCCAGUCGAACGGCAGCACAGUAAGAGCUUGCUCUUACGGGUGGCGAGUGGCGGACGGGUGAGGAAUACAUCGGAAUCUACUUUUUCGUGGGGGAUAACGUAGGGAAACUUACGCUAAUACCGCAUACGACCUACGGGUGAAAGCAGGGGAUCUUCGGACCUUGCGCGAUUGAAUGAGCCGAUGUCGGAUUAGCUAGUUGGCGGGGUAAAGGCCCACCAAGGCGACGAUCCGUAGCUGGUCUGAGAGGAUGAUCAGCCACACUGGAACUGAGACACGGUCCAGACUCCUACGGGAGGCAGCAGAGGGGAAUAUUGGACAAUGGGCGCAAGCCUGAUCCAGCCAUACCGCGUGGGUGAAGAAGGCCUUCGGGUUGUAAAGCCCUUUUGUUGUGAAAGAAAAGCAGCAGGUUAAUACCCCGCUGUUCUGACGGUACCCAAAGAAUAAGCACCGGCUAACUUCGUG